AGGAGGCGGUGGUGGGGAAUGUGGUGGUGGUGGUGGUGGGGAGUGAGGAUACAUUGGUGGGGGAGGUGGCGAAUGGUGUGGUGGUGGUGGUGAAUUGUAGUAGUAUGGUGGAGGAGAUGAAUGAUGCGGCGGUGGUGGUGAAUUGUAGUAGUAUGGUGGUGGAGGUGAGUGAUGCGGGGGUGGUGGGGAAUUGUAGUAGUAUGGGGGAGGAGAUGAGUGAUGUGGUGGUGGUGGCGGAGGUGAGCUGUAAUAGUAUGGUGGGGGAGAAGAAUGGUGAGGUGGUGGUGGAGGUGAGUAAUGUGGCGGUGGUGGAGGUGAGGGGCACGGCGGUGGGGGAGGGCGAGUGCAAUAAAUUGGAGCUGGUGGUGGUGGAGAUGAAUAUACUGGCGGUGGUGGUGGCGAAGAGUAAACUGGUGGAGGCGGUGGUGGUGGUGGUGGUGGGGGAGAGUAAACUGGUGGUGGUGGUGGUGGAGAGUAGACUGGUGGCGGUGGAGGUGGUGGUGGAGGGGGAGAGUAUACAGGUGGAGGCGGCGGUGGUGGUGGUGGAGGCGGAGGGGGAGAAUAAACAGGUGGAGGUGGAGGCGGUGGAGGCGGUGGAGGCGGUGGUGGUGGUGGUGGUGGUGGGGGAGAGUAGACGGGUGGUGGUGGAGGAGGAGGAGGUGGUGGUGGAGGGGAGUAGACAGGGGGAGGCGGAGGAGGGGAAUAGACAGGGGGAGGAGGAGGAGGAGAAUAGACGGGUGAUGGUGGAGGUGGCGAUGGUGGAGGCGGAGGAGGUAAUUGAGGUACAAUCGGAGGAAGGGGUGUAACAGAACGACCACACUUAAAAGAUUCACAAUCCACCGGAGGCCGAGACAAAAACGCUGCACAUUGCUCCGAAGACCUCUGAGCAGGACGCGACGGCAAACAAUUCCU
rnacentral:lncRNA from 1 species